rnacentral:rRNA from 1 species
AGCGAACGCUGGCGGCAGGCCUAACACAUGCAAGUCGAACGAAGCCUUCGGGCUUAGUGGCGGACGGGUGAGUAACACGUGGGAACGUACCUUUUGGUUCGGAAUAACGCAGAGAAAUUUGCGCUAAUACCGAAUGAGCCCUUCGGGGGAAAGAUUUAUCUCCGAAAGAUCGGCCCGCGUUGGAUUAGGUAGUUGGUGUGGUAAAGGCGCACCAAGCCUACGAUCCAUAGCUGGUCUGAGAGGAUGAUCAGCCACACUGGGACUGAGACACGGCCCAAACUCCUACGGGAGGCAGCAGUGGGGAAUCUUGCGCAAUGGGCGAAAGCUUGACGCAGCCAUGCCGCGUGAAUGAUGAAGGUCUUAGGAUUGUAAAAUUCUUUUACCAGGGACGAUAAUGACGGUACCUGGAGAAAAAGCCCCGGCUAACUUCGUGCCAGCCGCCGCGGUAACA